GACAGAGGGUGCAAACGUUGUUCGGAUUUACUGGGCGUAAAGCGCGUGUAGGCGGCUUUGCAAGUCGGAUGUGAAAGCCCACGGCUCAACCGUGGAAGUGCAUCCGAGACUGCAUUGCUAGAGUAUGGGAGAGGGAAGUGGAAUUUCAGGUGUAGCGGUGAAAUGCGUAGAUAUCUGAAGGAACAUCAGUGGCGAAAGCGACUUCCUGGACCAAUACUGACGCUCAUGUGCGAAAGCGUGGGGAGCAAACAGG
rnacentral:rRNA from 1 species